GGGCAGUUAGUUUACUUGGUUAGAACGCAUCCGCACGGAUGAAAGAUGGUUCGAAUCCUUCACUGUCCA
rnacentral:tRNA from 1 species